rnacentral:lncRNA from 1 species
AAAAGAGUAGAUUAAGAAACAGCUUUUGAAACCGAGUGAGAUUCCCAACAAAGCAAGUCAUUUAGAAGAUGGUAACUAAUUUGACAGAAUAAUGAAGUUUGAAGCUGCUGAAGAUUUUCUCUUCCCUGCAUAAGAAAGCCAGUCUUUCACAUUCAGCUCUCAUCCAUGAAAGUUUGGAUAGAAGUGAAAAGACCAUUAGCUGUGAUGGGCAUGUUUAGCUCUGGAGACACUUCUUCAGUUCUUCAUGAUCACAGGACAACAAUGUUAUGGAAAAUAGUUUUGUCAGCAAUGUAGGAACAGAGCCUGUCAAAGUGAAGUAUGGAGGGCGAAGGCAAUCUGCCAGAAGGAACUGUUCAAUAGUGAGGACUGUCAGCUUGGGGCACAGGUGAACGAAGUUCAAUUUACUGCAGUUCUGCAGACCUCAGGUGAGUCCUUAGGUUGAUCAGACAUCUGUCUCUGCCUAAAUUCCUUACCUGCAAAAUAGGGAUAAUAGUAUAUCCCCAAUCUCAAGGAGAUGAGAUACAUUCAAAGAGAAUUAUGAGCUGCUUGAGUAUUGCAGUACUGGGGCCAUAGUCUGAUAGAUGGAAGUAUGGAAGUUGCAGUGUACAUGCACU